UUGAAAUUAUGGAGAAGGCGUAUUGAAGAAAAAAUGCAGGUUAAACUUGUUGUUAAAAUGAAGUUAAUGUAAUUUCACAAACAGUAGAGUUUAACUUAAUGAGUUUUUCCAUUAACAAGAAUUUCUUAAAAUAAUAAUGUAUGGAUAUCAUUUGGAAAGUGACAUGAAAUGUUGUUAAAAAGUGAUGCAUACAAGUGUUUCAGAAGUCUGUCUAGGAAUAGAACAACAACUGAAGCUGACCAGUUGAUGGAAGAUACUGCAGAGUUUGGCAGGGAAAUAACCCAAGACAGCAAAGCGGCUCUUUUGGCGCAUUUACCAAGAGGACUAACAUGGCCACAAAUUCAUGAGAUCAUGCAGGAGCCGUACAGUAUAACAGCAGUACAAGUUCUAUAAAAGAUCCACGACCUACUGAAGCCCAGCUAAUUAACAAAAAAGUUUUUAAAAACUGUAAUUUUAUCCCACCUGGGUACUUAUAAUUUACUAACUGUCACUUGGAAAGUAAUACAUGUACAUGCAUUCAUGUUCUGAAUUUCUUUGAACAAUAAAAUUAUAUAAAAGUAUUUUAAUGAAAUUGAGCACCUAAAUUGCAUUAAAGUGAAAGUAGCUGAGAAAAAUAGUAUCCUUAAUUGUUCUCAUGGGCAGCUACAUAUAUUGUGACAAACAUGAAGUAGCUAAAAUAACUUAAAUUUUUCAUUUUGUUUCUUGUAUAUCGUUUGUACAGGGUUCGUGAAUUGUUACUGUAUAUUACUUGACUUGCUUGUAUUUUGUUACUUUGAAUACAUGUUGUUAAGGUUGCAUUAUACUUUUUAACUUUUAAAGUAGCGCCUGUUCUGUUAUGUAAGGGCCUGAUUUAUGAUAAUGGACCUAGAGGCUUUG